UACGGAGGGUGCAAGCGUUAUCCGGAUUCACUGGGUUUAAAGGGUGCGUAGGUGGAUUAGUAAGUCAGUGGUGAAAUCUCCGGGCUUAACCCGGAAACUGCCAUUGAUACUAUUAGUCUUGAAUACCGUGGAGGUCAGCGGAAUAUGUCAUGUAGCGGUGAAAUGCUUAGAUAUCUGGAGGAACACCGGUGGCGAAGGCGGCAUCCUGGACCGACACUGACGCUGAGGAGCGAAAGCCAGGGGAGCAAACGGG
rnacentral:rRNA from 1 species